UAUUUAAUGAAGUAGGCUAAUGGUGGUGGGGAGGAAGGGGGUUGAUUUUCACAUCUCAGAACGGUUGAGCCUGCAAAUAUUACUGAAAUCACAUCUGGGAACAAAGCUGUGCUUUAAGUAAGUUCACCCAUGAGUGUUGCUAAGCAAUGGAGAAUAGGCAAGGGAGAGGGAGAGUGCCUGACUUUAGGAUUAGAAGGAUAGAUAGGAGAUAAAAAAAGUAAGGCUUCUACAUAGCCUUAUUUAUAUGAGCUUUCAAGUUCUUUGUUUUUAUUGCCUCUUCCAAACUAUUUGGACCACGAUUAAUCAGAUCUGGUUCAGUAUCUAUACCAAUGCAUACCCAGCAUGCAGAGAGUUCUGCUGCAUCCUGGAGCACUGACACAAGCAGUUAUGCACCAGAACUGUCAACAUCUGCCUCUGGAUUAAACAGCAAGGAAGGAAAGAAGAAGAAAUCUUUCCUAUCAUCAGCAGCAGGGGUUGCUGCAGGAAGAUGAUAAUUCCCUCCUGCUACUCUGCUGACAACAACCAAGCUUCACAGGAGGAACAAGACAUUUUAAUCAUGGAAUUGAAAAACACAGCAGUUUCUAAAGCUUCAACUCACCUUGGUUGAUUUACAUUAAUUUAGGAUCAACUGGCUUACGGUGGAAUUAUGUUAUGUACAGAAGAUAACAGAGGAGGAAGAAUUCAGUGUAAUUGCUAGUUUGCCUGUGCAUAAGAGGCAGGGUGUCUAUGUAAGUAAACACUUUCAGAGCAUCCCAGAUAAGCAGGGACCACUGCAUUCCUUAAAAGCACAGUGCAAACUUCAGGGCUCCCUAAUUCCAUCCUAAGAGUUUUGUAAAUGCUGUACUUGAAAAUACACAGAAUUAAAUGUAAAAGGUGAGAAAUAUUAACAACUGGCAAGUCAGGGUCCAAUCCGAUGUCCGUUGAAGUCAUCAGAAAGCCUGUGACAGAGGCCUAGAGGUCUUGGCUCUGGCUCUUUAAACAGAUUAUCAUUAUAACAAAGGCACCCCGUAAUGGGCUGCUAAGAUAAAUGCAAAUUUUGCAUCAAAGACAGUCAAGCACCCCCAAAAUUAAAAAUUUGAGCACACAGCAGCUUACAGGCAGCAGCUUUGGGCAUGUGGCACAACAUCUGUUACAAAAACACUAGAAAGCAGACCUGCGGCAAACUGGACCACUGCCAGCUCUCAAGAUUCCCCCCCUCCCCACCCAAUGAGGCUGUCAAGUAAAUGGACAGAUGGCAGCCGAUGCACUCGCAGGAUAGUUAGCUCAGUUAACAAUCAACUAUGCUAAAUUAUUUCAGAUUCACUCUGCACCAGGCAUUGUAUUUUCUAUUGAAUCAUUAACACUAUGUCCUAAUAGGAAUAUAGUUUGGUAUUAAGAAACCGGCAGAUACUAUAUUUUACAAGACAGUUUCUCUGGAACAAUUUGUCAAGGAACAUUAGAUCUGCCUUCGUGAAUAAAGACAGAGUCUGCCAAGUUUAUCAGGCUGGUUUGUUCAUAAUUUUAAUUCUACAGUAUUUGAAGAACAAGGAUGGAAACAAGCAUUAAGAUGCAGGUCAGUUAAUAGCACAUGCUGCUCUCACAGAUGCGCUCAGCUGAAAGAGCAGAGUAGAUGUUAACAGCACACAGGAUACCAUAUCACAGUGGCUCUUCUGCCAUACCCUGCUGUUCUGCCUGCCUGGUGUGGUACAUCGUGCUGAGCUCUCCUGGACAGGACAGCUAUCACAGGCGACCCUCUGGGUGACACGCUCGUCAUCCCAAGCAUACAGAUGUGAGGAUUCAACCCUGGAAAACUAAUAUUUCUUGGUUUUUAAUGGAUGCAAUCUGUAAACAAAGUUUGGCCCUCAUACCUCAAGGGGGCAAAUAAUUCAGUACUGAACACUAGUAAAUAGCAUACAGGUGGACUUUUGGCCCCAGCAUUACAAGAUACACCUUUUAAUUUUUCCUCUUUACGAUUAUGUCUUUAGCAGCAUGUUUGUAGACUUAGUGACAGUGUUACUCAAUUGAUUUGCUUUUCCAUAAAGUAGCAGGGCAAGAAUAAUCUUUGGGGAAAAAAAAAAAAAUGUUGUUUUAUCUUUAAAUUCUCUCCCCCCCACCACCACUUUGUUUCUGUUGCAUAUCCAUGUUAUCCAUCCACCCAAAAUCCCAUGCAGACAAACAGCUUGUCAAAGAAGUAACUACAAUCCAAGAAGUUAUUUAUCACAUAUUUGGCUCCCACAACCAUUUUAUUCAUCAUUGUUUCACCCAGUAAGUGCCCUGAGAAAAUACAGACCACCACCCCUUUUCUGCCCGCAUUAGAGAAAUCGUUUAACAGAAAGGGAAAAAAAAUAAGAAAAACAAGUGGAAAAGCAGAGGAGGAGUAGGAGAUAACCAAAAUCAGCUCUCCUGAAGGAGAUGGCAGUUGCGCCAUGGAUCCGAGUGAAGCCAGCACCUCACACUUAUCUGUUACAGCUCAGUUGUAAAGAGUAGGACUGAAGAAAAUAGAAAAGUGUAGAGCACUUCUAAUGGGCAAUCAACAAAUUAGUGCUCUACACAGUCAGGUAACUGCCUACUGCAGAACAGCAAGUUACCUGAUUGGCGCUGUGAAAGACUUGCACUUUGGACUCACACAUUGAGCUCUCCAGAAGCACCGUCCUUAUACUGCUUUCGGUGCUGAACCAAGAGAGGUCGACCUGCAUUGUGUCUUACAAUGAUCUGGAAAACUGACAGCAGUGAACCUGCCUAUGGUCAGUCUAUGAACAUUACUAGAUCUUCUGUUAGCUUUCCCUUUCUGCUACGAUACUGGUUUCUUUAGAGAUGUUUAUGCGGCAUCACCAUAGUUAUACUAGGAAAAUCAGCAGUAGCAGGCAAGAACUUAUACGCCCUGCUUUUCUAAUUCAGACAUGGAAAGGUGUCACAAGAAUUUCAGGAGAACGGGAGCAAGAACUCUGCCAUUUCACUGAGCUCCUUAGCAGCCCGCUCUGUGGGGCUUUCUUCUCUUGAAAAGGAGACUGAAUGUUGUGACUACUAGUGUGGGAUCACCAGAGCAGGGAAAUCAGAAAUGCAAUUUAAAAAAAAGUGCAGACCUGUCAAAAAUGGAGGCAAGAAAGCAACCUCAUUUUCUGGCUCAACUUUAUGAAAAUCUGAUUAGACCUUAGUGAAAUUUAAUCUUUGCCUUCCAGACCUUCUGAGAGGAAAAAAAAAAAAAAAAAAAAAAAAAAAAAAAAAAAAUCUUCUGAGGUCAUAAAGUCCUAAGAGAGGAGAGACACCACUCAACUAUAGGAAAACAGCUGAAAAAACAACUGCUUUUCUUGCACUAAUCACCUGGUAAGUCUGCAAACAACGCCAUUAAAAAGUGAAUUAUAGAAAAGCUACACAUCACUAUUUUCAACAAAGUCAAAAAUACAACUUUAUCAGAUAGAAAGUCAUAAAAUAAUAUGAAAAAGACAGGACAAAUUAGCUAUAACAAUAAUUAGGAAUACCAGACAUUCAGAAGAUAGUAUUCAUUUGUAACACUAAGACAGUCAUAGAGACAGAAAAUUUGGUUCCCAGUGGUCCUGCAGGGGUAACUUAUUUCUCUGUUUUGUUCCUACUACAGUUUUACAGCAAAAACAAACCUAGCAGAUAUGUAAUUUUUAUAUUAUCAGCCCCUCCCCAGAACAAUUCUGCUUCAAAACCACCCAUUAGGCUGGAAUUGGCAAAACCCAAGUUCCAGUGUUGUUUUUCAGCCACAGGGUCCAUAAUUCCCUCUUCUUACCUGUCUCCUGGUAAUAUCUGUCCUACGUUGUGUCAUCAGAGAAACACAAAAGAGAAUUUUUUGGCUUUCCUCAAAACUUUUUUACUUUCAUGGACAGAUAAUGCAUGCUAUCAUAUUAUUAGCCCAAAAAGAGGCAACUACAGAGCGCUGCUUUCUGGGUGUGAUUAGUCAUUUGCAGAUCAACAGAAAGCUUUCACUGGGGGGGAAGGGCUGUUUGCGGGGUUUUAUUCCCAUCUGCCAGCUCAGCAGCAGUGAUGGUACCAAAUGAAGUCUUUCUGCUCAUUCAGCAUCUGUGGUCUAAUAUUUGCCAAGAGUUUGAUGAUGACCUCUUGAUUUGUGCCUACAGUACCCAGGAUUCCCAGGUGGUCUCACAGCCAAACAUUAGCCUAGUUUAGGAUAGCUGAGCUUGCAGAAUCAGUCCGCCAUAGACUAUAUUUUGUUAAUACAGUGUAUACUAGCAAAACCUAGAACACUGAUAUGUCUUAGAUUCUUCUAAUACUCUGCUUACAGUCCAAUAAGAUUGGGUUUGGCAGCUUUGAGGAAAGCAAGCAAGCAAUUCUUAUCAAAAUACAGCAAUCUUGGAAAUAAAAAAAAGGGAGAAACAAAGAUGAACAGGUGUAAAAUUGUAUUUGUAAUUUUCUCCUCUAGUUAUCUAAUAUGCCAGCCAUCCCAUUUUUACCUUAUGUCAUGCUGGGCAAAGUGAAACAUCCAGAAAACAUAAGAGAAAUAUAAUUUUAGGGCCAAUCCUAAUUAUGGAUGUGCAGGUCUAAAAUAAUUGUAGAUGAUGUGCAUAUAAAGUAAGGUUAAAACUAGAGGAUGGUAUAUAUAUCAUCUAGGAGUUUAAUUUAAUUUUUAUAUGCAAUUUCCCCCAUAUCCUUAUUGUUGUCUAUAGAAUCCUCCACUUAAUUUCACAAUUCAUACAAACAUGCAACAAAAAAAAAAGGUUAUGUUGCAUAUGGUUACAUAGCAGAAUGUGGAAUAAAGUACACUGAUUAAAAACAUCAUAUUAUGCAAUUAAAAACACUAAUAUUGCAAUCACAAUACUUGUAAAAUGCAGCUAUGCAGAAAGCUAGAAAGUUGGAAUUAAUAUGACAGCCUGAUCUCUUACUGUACAGAUGUACAAUAAUUCUUAAUCUAUUCUUGCCUGGGCAGGUAAGAGGUUGUGUCCCAUUCAAGAUUCAUUUGAAGGAACACAUGUUCCUUGUGAGUGAUGUCAUGUCUAGUAAUAUACAUGAAUUAACUCAUAUCAGCAUUGGCCACGUUGUGUCAUGAUUUUUUUAGGUACAGGAUGUACUAAUUUUUGACUGAGAUUACUAUAGAUUGUCUAUGGAUUUUACGAUCUCUGUAAAGAAAGAUUAUGUACUUGUAUAAAGCACCAGGUAAUAUGUAAA